rnacentral:rRNA from 1 species
ACGCAGUGCGGUGCUAUACAUGCAGUCGAGCGGACAGAUGGGAGCUUGCUCCCUGAUGUCAGCGGCGGACGGGUGAGUAACACGUGGGUAACCUGCCUGUAAGACUGGGAUAACUCCGGGAAACCGGGGCUAAUACCGGAUGCUUGAUUGAACCGCAUGGUUCAAUUAUAAAAGGUGGCUUCUGCUACCCCUUACCGAUGGACCCCCGGCGCAUUAACUAAUUGGGGAGGGAACGGCUCACCCAGGGGACCAUGGGUAACCCACCUGAAAGGGUGAUCGGCCACCCUGGGACUGAAACACGGCCCAAACUCCUACGGGAGGGAGCAGUAAGGAAUCUUCCGCAAUGGACCAAAGUCUGACGGAACAACCCCGCGUGAGUGAUGAAGGGUUUCCGAUCGUAAAACUCUGGUGGUAAGGAAGAACCAGUACCGGUCCAAUAGGGCGGGACCUUGACGGUACCUAACCAGAAAGCCACGGCUAACUACCUGCCAGCAGCCGCGGUAAUACCUAAGUGGCAAGCGUUGUCCGGAAUUAUUGGGCGUAAAGCGCGCGCAGGCGGUUUCCUAAGUCUGAUGUGAAAGGCCCCGGCUCCACCGGGGAGGGUCAUUGGAAACUGGGGAACUUGAGUGGAGAAGAGGAGAGUGGAAUUUCACGUGGUAGCGGUGAAAUGGCGUAGAGAUGUGGAAGGAACAACAGUGGCGAAGCGACUCUUCUGGUCUGUAACUGACGCUGAAGCGCGUAAGCGUGCGGGAGCCCAACAGGAUUAAUACCUGGUAGUUCAGUGCCGUAAACGAUGAUGCUAGUGUUAGAGGUUUCGGCUUAAUGCUGCACAAGCAUUAGACUCGCUGGGGAGUACGGUCCCAGACUGAACUCAAUGAAUUGAACGCAUAA